rnacentral:lncRNA from 1 species
GGCCGAGGCAGGCAGAUCACGAGGUCAGGAGUUCGAGACCAGCCUGGCUAACAUGGUGAAACCCCGUCUCUACUAAAAAUACAAAAAUUAGCUUAGCUAGGCAUGGUGGCAGGAGCCUGUAAUCCCAGCUACAUGGGAGGCUGAGGCAGGAGAAUCGUUUGAAUCCAGGAGGCGGAGGUUGCAGAGAGCCAAGAUCAUGCCAUUGCACUGCACUGGGCAACAAGGCAAGACUCUGCCAUCUCAAAAAAAAAAAAAAAAAAAA